CCUACGGGAGGCUGCAGUGGGGGAUAUUGCACAAUGGGGGGAACCCUGAUGCAGCGACGCCGCGUGGGUGAAGGAGGAUUUCGGAGCGUAAAGCCCUAUCGGCCGGGAAGAAGAUGACGGUAGCUGAGCAAGAAGCACCGGCUAACUACGUGCCAGCAGCCGCGGUAAUACGUAGGGGGCCAGCGUUAUCCGGAUUUACUGGGCGUAAAGGGGGCGGAGACGGCUAUGGAAGCGAGCAGUGAAAGGCCGGGGCCCAACCCCGGGACUGCCCUUGGAACUUCAUGGCUGGAGUACUGGAGGGGCUGGCGGAAUUCCUAGUGUAGCGGUGAAAUUCGUAGAUAUUUGGUGGAACACCGGUGGCGAAGGCGGCCUGCUGGACUGUGACUGACGCUGAGGCACGAAAGCGUGGGUAUCGAACAGGAUUAGAUACCCUGGUAGUC
rnacentral:rRNA from 1 species